UACGAAGGGGGGCUAGCGUUGCUCGGAAUCACUGGGCGUAAAGGGCGCGCAGGCGGCACAUUUUGUCAGGCGUGAAAGCCCCGGGCUUAACCUGGGAACUGGCCUUUGAUACUGGAGAGCUUGAGUCCGGGAGAGGUGAGUGGAACUCCGAGUGUAGAGGUGAAAUUCGUAGAUAUUCGGAAGAACACCAGUGGCGAAGGGCGGCUCACUGGCCCGGUACUGACGCUGAGGUGCGAAAGCGUGGGGAGCAAACAGGG
rnacentral:rRNA from 1 species